rnacentral:lncRNA from 1 species
ACGGGGCUGCUUUCAAGAGCACAGGGGCUAGGUGAGAGUAGAUACAACAUAACAUUACUGGGGCUAGGUGAGAGUAGAUACAACAUAACAUUACUGGGGCUAGGUGAGACUAGAUACAACACAACAUUACUGGGGCUAGGUGAGAGUAGAUACAACACAACAUUACUGGGGCUAGGUGAGAGUAGAUACAACAUAACAUUACUGGGGCUAGGUGAGAGUAGAUACAACACAACAUUACUGGGGCUAGGUGAGGGUAGAUACAACACAACAUUACUGGGGCUAGGUGAGAGUAGAUACAACACAACAUUACUGGGGCUAGGUGAGAGUAGAUACAACACAACAUUACUGGAGCUAGGUGAGAGUAGAUACAACACAACAUUACUGGGGCUAGGUGAGAGUAGAUACAACACAACAUUACUGGGGCUAGGUGAGGGUAGAUACAACACAACAUGACUGGGGCUAGGUGAGGGUAGAUACAACACAACAUUACUGGGGCUAGGUGUAAGUAGAUACAACACAACAUUACUGGGGCUAGGUGAGGGUAGAUACAACACAACAUUACUGGGGCUAGGUGAGAGUAGAUACAACAUAACAUUACUGGGGCUAGGUGAGGGUAGAUACAACACAACAUUACUGGGGCUAGGUGAGGGUAGAUACAACACAACAUGACUGGGGCUAGGUGAGGGUAGAUACAACACAACAUUACUGGGGCUAGGUGUGAGUAGAUACAGUGCCUUGUGAAAGUAUUCGGCCCCCUUGAACUUUGCGACCUUUUGCCACAUUUCAGGCUUCAAACAUAAAGAUAUAAAAUUGUAUUUUUUUUGUGAAGAAUCAACAACAAGUGGGACACAAUCAUGAAGUGGAACGACAUUUAUUGGAUAUUUUAAACUUUUUAACAAAUCAAAAACUGAAAAAUUGGGCGUGCAAAAUUAUUCGGCCCCUUAAGUUAAUACUUUGUAGCGCCACCUUUUGCUGCGAUUACAGCUGUAAGUCGCUUGGGGUAUGUCUCUAUCAGUUUUGCACAUCGAGAGACUGACAUUUUUUUCCAUUCCUCCUUGCAAAACAGCUCGAGCUCAGUGAGGUUGGAUGGAGAGCAUUUGUGAACAGCAGUUUUCAGUUCUUUCCACAGAUUCUCGAUUGGAUUCAGGUCUGGACUUUGACUCGGCCAUUCUAACACCUGGAUAUGUUUAUUUUUGAACCAUUCCAUUGUAGAUUUUGCUUUAUGUUUUGGAUCAUUGUCUUGUUGGAAGACAAAUCUCCGUCCCAGUCUCAGGUCUUUUGCAGACUCCAUCAGGUUUUCUUCCAGAAUGGUCCUGUAUUUGGCUCCAUCCAUCUUCCCAUCAAUUUUAACCAUCUUCCCUGUCCCUGCUGAAGAAAAGCAGGCCCAAACCAUGAUGCUGCCACCACCAUAUUUGACAGUGGGGAUGGUGUGUUCAGCUGUGUUGCUUUUACGCCAAACAUAACGUUUUGCAUUGUUGCCAAAAAGUUCAAUUUUGGUUUCAUCUGACCAGAGCACCUUCUUCCACAUGUUUGGUGUGUCUCCCAGGUGGCUUGUGGCAAACUUUAAACAACACUUUUUAUGGAUAUCUUUAAGAAAUGGCUUUCUUCUUGCCACUCUUCCAUAAAGGCCAGAUUUGUGCAAUAUCCGACUGAUUGUUGUCCUAUGGACAGAGUCUCCCACCUCAGCUGUAGAUCUCUGCAGUUCAUCCAGAGUGAUCAUGGGCCUCUUGGCUGCAUCUCUGAUCAGUCUUCUCCUUGUAUGAGCUGAAAGUUUAGAGGGACGGCCAGGUCUUGGUAGAUUUGCAGUGGUCUGAUACUCCUUCCAUUUCAAUAUUAUCGCUUGCACAGUGCUCCUUGGGAUGUUUAAAGCUUGGGAAAUCUUUUUGUAUCCAAAUCCGGCUUUAAACUUCUUCACAACAGUAUCUCGGACCUGCCUGGUGUGUUCCUUGUUCUUCAUGAUGCUCUCUGCGCUUUUAACGGACCUCUGAGACUAUCACAGUGCAGGUGCAUUUAUACGGAGACUUGAUUACACACAGGUGGCUUGUAUUUAUCAUCAUUAGUCAUUUAGGUCAACAUUGGAUCAUUCAGAGAUCCUCACUGAACUUCUGGAGAGAGUUUGCUGCACUGAAAGUAAAGGGGCUGAAUAAUUUUGCCGCCCAAUUUUUCAGUUUUUGAUUUGUUAAAAAAGUUUGAAAUAUCCAAUAAAUGUCGUUCCACUUCAUGAUUGUGUCCCACUUGUUGUUGAUUCUUCACAAAAAAAUACAGUUUUAUAU